AUGGUUGUCGUCAGCUCGUGUCGUGAGAUGUUGGGGUUAAGUCCCGCAACGAGCGCAACCCUUGUGUUUAGUUGCAAACAGGUCAAGCUGUGCACUCUAGACAGACUGCCGUGGACAACACGGAGGAAGGUGGGGAGUGACGUCAAAUCAUCAUGCCCCUUAUGAUCUGGGCUACACACGUGCUACAAUGGCCGGUACAACGGGCAGCGAAGGAGCGAUCCGGAGCGAAUCCUAAAAAGCCGGUCCCAGUUCGGAUUGCAGGCUGAAACUCGCCUACAUGAAGUUGGAGUUGCUAGUAAUCGCGAAUCAGAAUGUCGCGGUGAAUGCGUUCCCGGGUCUU
rnacentral:rRNA from 1 species